GAUGAACGCUAGCUACAGGCUUAACACAUGCAAGUCGAGGGGAAACGACAUUGAAGCUUGCUUCGAUGGGCGUCGACCGGCGCACGGGUGAGUAACGCGUAUCCAACCUGCCUCUGACUAAGGGAUAACCCGGCGAAAGUCGGACUAAUACCUUAUGAGGUUUUCAGCAGACAUCUAAUGAAAACGAAAGAUUUAUCGGCCAGUGAUGGGGAUGCGUCUGAUUAGCUUGUUGGCGGGGUAACGGCCCACCAAGGCAACGAUCAGUAGGGGUUCUGAGAGGAAGGUCCCCCACAUUGGAACUGAGACACGGUCCAAACUCCUACGGGAGGCAGCAGUGAGGAAUAUUGGUCAAUGGGCGAGAGCCUGAACCAGCCAAGUAGCGUGCAGGAAGACGGCCCUAUGGGUUGUAAACUGCUUUUAUGUGGGGAUAAAGUGAGCUACGUGUAGUUUAUUGCAGGUACCACAUGAAUGAGGACCGGCUAAUUCCGUGCCAGCAGCCGCGGUAAUACGGAAGGUCCAGGCGUUAUCCGGAUUUAUUGGGUUUAAAGGGAGCGUAGGCCGUGGAUUAAGCGUGUUGUGAAAUGUAGACGCUCAACGUCUGAAUUGCAGCGCGAACUGGUUCACUUGAGUAUGCACAACGUAGGCGGAAUUCGUCGUGUAGCGGUGAAAUGCUUAGAUAUGACGAAGAACUCCGAUUGCGAAGGCAGCUUACGGGAGCACAACUGACGCUGAAGCUCGAAGGUGCGGGUAUCAAACAGG
rnacentral:rRNA from 1 species